UACAGAGGGGGCAAGCGUUGUUCGGAAUUACUGGGCGUAAAGGGCGCGUAGGCGGCCUGCUAAGUCGAACGUGAAAUCCCUGGGCUCAACCCAGGAACUGCGUCCGAUACUGGUUGGCUUGAAUCCGGGAGAGGGAUGUGGAAUUCCAGGUGUAGCGGUGAAAUGCGUAGAGAUGUGGAGGAACACCAAUGGCGAAGGCAGCCCCCUGGGCCAACACUGACGCUCAUGCACGAAAGCGUGGGGAGCAAACAGG
rnacentral:rRNA from 1 species